AUAAUUAACUUUUCUUCCCCACAG
rnacentral:piRNA from 1 species